GACGAACGCUGGCGGCGUGCUUAACACAUGCAAGUCGAACGGAAAGGCCUUCUUUCUGUGGGGUGCUCGUGUGGCGAGCGGGUCAGUAACACGUGAGUAACCUGCCUUCUAUUUCGGGAUAACUUCCGGAAACUGGGGCAAAUACCUGAUAUGAGCUCCCGCCGCGUGGGGGGGGUUGGACAGUGUCGGCGGCUGGGGUUGGACGUGCGGCUUAGCAGCCUGUUGGUGGGGUAGUGGCCUCCCAAGGCUUCGACGGGUAGCCGGCCUGAGAGGCGGACCGGCGACAAUGGGACUGAGGGAGGGAGCAGACGCGUACGGGAGGCAGCGGUGGGGAGUAUUGGACAGCGGGAGGGAGGCUGAUGCGGCGACGCCGGGGGCGGGAUGACGGCCUUCGGGUUAUGAACAGCAGUCGCCUGUGACGAAGCGGGGGUGACGGUAAUGGGAGAAGAAGCACCGGCUAACUACGUG
rnacentral:rRNA from 1 species